UAAUACGUAGGGUCCAAGCGUUGUCCGGAUUUAUUGGGCGUAAAGAGCUCGUAGGCGGUUUCGUAAGUCGGAUGUGAAAACUCAGGGCUCAACCCGGAGACGCCAUCCGAUACUGCGAUGACUUGAGUCUGGUAGGGGAACACGGAAUUCCUGGUGUAGCGGUGAAAUGCGCAGAUAUCAGGAGGAACACCGAUGGCGAAGGCAGUGUUCUGGGCCAGUACUGACGCUGAGGAGCGAAAGCGUGGGGAGCAAACAGGAUUAGAUACCCUGGUAGUCCACGCCGUAAACGUU
rnacentral:rRNA from 1 species